rnacentral:rRNA from 1 species
AUUGAACGCUGGCGGAAUGCUUUACACAUGCAAGUCGAACGGCAGCACGGACUUCGGUCUGGUGGCGAGUGGCGAACGGGUGAGUAACAUAUCGGAACGUAUCCAAUAAUGGGGGAUAACGAGUUGAAAGAUUCGCUAAUACCGCAUACGCCCUACGGGGGAAAGCUGGGGAUCGCAAGACCUGGCGUUAAUGGAGCGGCCGAUAUCUGAUUAGCUAGUUGGUGAGGUAAAGGCUCACCAAGGCGACGAUCAGUAGCUGGUCUGAGAGGACGACCAGCCACACUGGAACUGAGACACGGUCCAGACUCCUACGGGAGGCAGCAGUGGGGAAUUUUGGACAAUGGGCGCAAGCCUGAUCCAGCCAUUCCGCGUGAGUGAAGAAGGCCUUCGGGUUGUAAAGCUCUUUCGCAAGGGAAGAAAACUUACCCUCUAGCAUAGGGUGAGGUUGACGGUACCUUGAUAAGAAGCACCGGCUAACUACGUGCCAGCCGCCGCCGUAA